rnacentral:pre_miRNA from 1 species
GUACUACCAUGGGUUCUCUGCAAGCACUUCAUGAUGCAUUAUUCAAAAAUGCCACCGUGAAGUGUUUGGGAGAACUUUUGGUGCAAU